CCAUGAACAGGGUGACCAGAUGUCCUAACCACAAAAGAAGACAAAGCACCACAAAAUAUUGCCUCUCCUUUACUGAUUCAUGUGUGGAUCCCAGCAGAAGUCUCAGGAUUAAGACCUUCACAAUUCAGUUUUCUUAAACAACUGCAGAAGCUCUGUGAUUUUUGUCUUCAUCUGGAUGCAAAGACAACCACCCUCUUCCAGGCUUCUCUUACUACUUGCUGGUUGACAGUCUAUUAACCUUUGAAUUAAACUAUCUACUGGACUCUGAUUAAAAUCUAAAGCUCAUGCAUUGGCAAGUAAAAACUGGCUGAUGGGGGAAGUUCACUGAGCUCCGACUCCUGUUUGACAAGGAAGAAACCUUAACUAAACAAGACAUCGAUGUAAAGGUCCAGCAGACUCUAAGGGCAUAUGAAGAGCAGACAGAGGCUUGCAAGGGACAAGUGAGGACCAUAGACAGUUUUGUAGACAGGAUCAGACAAAUCCAACUUCAGCCUGACCCGUUCCAAUUGCUGAAGGUAGGCCUGUGUUCUUCUUCUCCCUGUUAUGUAGUGAAAGAGGAAGAUGUGCCCUACUGGAGGUGCCCACACUCUCAAAGUCUGUCUGAGAAUGUAUCUCCUCAUAUAAACCUACAAAAAACCUUCAAGCUAGUAAAAUGUAGAGUAGACAAUG